rnacentral:rRNA from 1 species
AGUGAACGCUGGCGGUAGGCCUAACACAUGCAAGUCGAACGGCAGCACAGUAAGAGCUUGCUCUUACGGGUGGCGAGUUGCGGACGGGUGCGGAAUACAUCUGAAUCUAGUUUUUCGUGGGGGAUAACGUAGGGAAACUUACGCUAAUACCGCUUACGGCCUUCGGGUGAAAGCAGGGGAUCUUGCGACCUUGUGCGAUUGAAUGAGCUGAUGUCGGUUUAGCUAGUUGGCGGGGUAAAGGCCCACCAAGGCGACGAUCCGUAGCUGGUCUGAGAGGAUGAUCAGCCACACUGGAACUGAGACACGGUCCAGACUCCUACGGGAGGCAGCAGUGGGGAAUAUUGGACAAUGGGCGCAAGCCUGAUCCAGCCAUACCGCGUGGUUGAAGAAGGCCUUCGGGUUGUAAAGUACUUUUGUUGGGAAAGAAAAGCAGCAGGUUAAUACCCCGCUAUUCUGACGGUACCAAAAGAAUAAGCACCGGCUAACUUCGUG